GGGUUGUGAGGUUAAGCGACUAAGCGUACACGGUGGAUGCCCUGGCAGUCAGAGGCGAUGAAGGACGUGCUAAUCUGCGAAAAGCGACGGCGAGGUGAUAUGAACCCUUGACCCGGCGAUGUCCGAAUGGGGAAACCCAGUGUGUUUCGACACACUAUCGUUAACUGAAUACAUAGGUUAACGAGGCGAACCGGGGGAACUGAAACAUCUAAGUACCCCGAGGAAAAGAAAUCAACCGAGAUUCCCCCAGUAGCGGCGAGCGAACGGGGAGCAG
rnacentral:rRNA from 1 species